UAAGAAGCCGAAAGGCAACUUCAAACCAUUGCGAACGUGUCCAGGUUGCUUCGGCGGCGCGGGACCCCUCGGGGAACCGCAGCCCACGCCCUCCGGGGCGAGGGGCGCCCGCCGGAGGUCACAAACUCUCGUGUAUUAUAGUGGCAUCUCUGAGUAAAGAAUAAAUAAGUUA
rnacentral:misc_RNA from 1 species